UGGGAAUUUUGGACAAUGGGCGAAGCCUGAUCCAGCAAUGCCGCGUGUGUGAAGAAGGCCUUCGGGUUGUAAAGCACUUUUGUCCGGAAAGAAAUCCUUGGCUCUAAUACAGUCGGGGGAUGACGGUACCGGAAGAAUAAGCACCGGCUAACUACGUGCCAGCAGCCGCGGUAAUACGUAGGGUGCAAGCGUUAAUCGGAAUUACUGGGCGUAAAGCGUGCGCAGGCGGUUUGCUAAGACCGAUGUGAAAUCCCCGGGCUCAACCUGGGAACUGCAUUGGUGACUGGCAGGCUAGAGUAUGGCAGAGGGGGGUAGAAUUCCACGUGUAGCAGUGAAAUGCGUAGAGAUGUGGAGGAAUACCGAUGGCGAAGGCAGCCCCCUGGGCCAAUACUGACGCUCAUGCACGAAAGCGUGGGGGAGCAAACAGGAUUAGAUACCCCUGGUAGUCCACGCCCUAAACGAUGUCAACUGUUGUUGGGGAUUCAUUUCCUUAGUAACGUAGCUAACGCGUGAAGUUGACCGCCUGGGGAGUAC
rnacentral:rRNA from 1 species